GCCAUGGUGGUUCUGUGAUAGAAUUCUCACCUUCCAUGAGAGAGACCCAGGUUAGAUUCCUGGCCAGUGCA
rnacentral:tRNA from 1 species